CCAUACAGACAACCUGAGCCUCCAUACCGAGUUUUAAGCGGUACCACUCAAUAACUGACAACUUCUAGAUUAUCCUGAGAGUGCUUUCCAAGUGCCUCUGAUGUUUGUGGGCUGCACAGAAUCCAGAAAACUCCAGCAGCACCUUUCCACACAGCCUGCGCUGGCCACAACAUUUCCAUUUACCACAACAAGCAGCGGGUAGAAUCCAGGAAGAUUUCAUCCCUGCACAUGUACCAAAAGAGGACAAGAAAUGAUUUUCCCAGCAAAGAGUCUCGCAUUCCUUCAUCUGAUUUAUACAAAAUUUUGACAAUGGAACUGUGGUGGAACUCUUGUGUAAGGGAGAAAAUGAUUAAUGGAUGUGGACCAUGCCUGCCCUGAGCUGCACUUGGAGAACCCUGUGUGUCUCAUUCAAACUUCUACUUCUCCUCGUCCCCAGCUCCCAGAGUCAGUCACGGCCAUUUUGUGUCAAGCCAUGUGCCAGUCUGCCAUUUUGGAGCACGUGUGUUUUUCAAGAGUUCCAUGUCUGCUUGUGUUUUCUCAUGAGCCUUUGACAUAAAUCUGCUGUUGCUGGGAACUGGGAAGAAUGUCCUUGCAAAGGAAAUUGUUCUGCGAACCAUUGAUCUGUGCACAGACUUCAAGCAGCUUCGUGUUCCCUCACUAGGAGCUCUCCUCUGUCUGUUCAGUCCUUCUGUCCUGCUUCCAGUAGAUCUCUUGCAAGGAUCAUGCUUAAAAGUUAAGGGAACAAGUAGACUUUGGUGAAGAAAAAGCAGAAGACAGUAUUAUCAGUAUGAGAGGCGUCCUGGGCUGGAGGAUUGGGUUGUUUGAUGGACCAGUCAGCAACUUGAGAACUUUUCACCUGAGCCCCCCAUCCUGGUUCCACUGGAAGCUGUUGCUGCUGGCAGGCUGGAAGGAGCCAGGACUCCAGCAAAGCUUUCUUGGUUUCUAGAAUUUCUUACCAAAAUACUUCUGGAGCCAGGAUUUUGUCUGUCUCAUAGAAGCAGGGAGGAGUUCCCAGGCAUGGUCUGACUGUGCUGGAAGCUGGAUUCCCCUCAGUGCAGGAUGUACAGUUGUUUCAGAAAGAACCUGGUCUAAAGGCUACCACAGACCAACUCAUUUGAAAUAUCAAAGUCCCUAAAAGAUGACAGACAUAUGAGGAGUGUAAGCAGAUUGAUUUCUGAAGGUCUAACAACAAGACUCUGCAAGAUGGCAAAAACUGAAAAUGGACCUGAGGGCGAGAACAAAAGAAAAUGCAAUAUGGUGCAUCCAAAAGCAACCAUCAGGAGAGAAUUAUUGCAAACCUGGGCCCUUAAUGGGAGCAAACUGCACAGAAGGCAGAAAUGACUGAAAUGACCUAGAGAUGCCAGUGCCUGUAAAAAUACGUUUUCAUAGGGUUUCAAAAAUCCACCCCUGCUGACUGGGCUGAAAUUACGAAGAAAACUGCAGACAAAGAGAUGGAUUUUUCGUCAGUGAUUGCUCACAAUCUGGAUAUUGCAGCAAUUUCAGAGUCACCUGGAGAAGUCUGAACCCAUUCUGUCCACCUUUGGCAAGGAAAGAUUGUGUCACAGACCUUGAACUAGAAGCUCUUCCAAAGGAACUGCUGGAUGGCUCCUGUAAUGACUGUUUUCUCAAUAAUGGGGAGAUUCUCAGUGUGGGAAGGAGGAGCAGAAGAGCAGAAGGGCUGAAGAGAAGAUACCUGUGGCAAUGUGCAGCCUGGAAAGACAAGUAAAGGGCGAUCCUGCAGCUCCUGGCUCAGACAUGCUCACCAAGAUGUGACCAUCCCAGUCUGGUGAUACCUGCAGUAAAUGCCCUUUAAGAGGACUUGUGCAUGUGGUUUUCAACAGCAUCCCUCUGGCACUUUGUGGUGGUGUUCUCUUUUCUACCAGAUCCUAAUACUCAGUGACUGAAAAACAGAUUUAUGCAUCCUUUUCAGGUUUCGACCAGCAGGUGACCUGUUGGCAGACCCAAGGUGCUUCUGGAAACAAAGCAGUGGUUCUGCAUGACUCAUCGUACCUUUUGGAUCACCAUGCUAGAGCCUGACCGUGGAUAACGGGAUCAACAACCUCUGAAGAGCCUGAUCCAGUGGACACGAGGAGUCUUCAGGCCUCCAUUACCUUCCAGCUUGGGCUGUAGGACACUCGGCUGGCCCGAGUCCUCCACUUCUCCAGUUCAGCUUCCCCUAACAAGAGUAAGAUUGCUCUGGCUUUCCUUUCAUGAUUCUAAAUGCUUCUUUAAUCUCUCUAAUCUUCUUAGCACCAGCUGAAAAGACUAGCACACAAAAACGUGAGAAAUAUUUGUUGUGAGGUAGAAAUUCACCUAGUCAUAAAAUAAUUGCUUCUCAACUGUUAGUCAUUCAUGGCAUGAUUCUAAUUGCAUUAUGCUUAGGGGAUCAUAAUGAAACAGACUUCCAAAUUUACCCUGGAGCACUUUUUCUGCAGUAUUGGAUUGGAAAGCUGUAAUUUGAAUAAAUGAAAUGAGUAACUGAAGACAGAAUUUCCCUCUCCCCAAUAUGUCUCAUAUAAAAAAAAAAAGAAGAAGAAAAAAAGAAGAAAACUGUCUUGUUUAAGUAAUUAGCAAGAUGCUGACAAAAUGCAGGCAGUGUGCAGUGGAUAUUUUGUAUCUCAGACGAGAACAAAUUAAUGAAGACGAUUUCUGUAUAGACAAGCUAAGCUUGUUUUCAGAAGAGACAAAUUCUUAUUUUUCUAUGAUCAACUAAAGACAAAAGAGGCAGUGAGAGAAGAAAUGUUCAAGAAGGCCUGACAAUAACCUUGUUGUUCAUUUGGGAAAGGGAGGGCCAUAACAUUCAGAAAGCCCUUAGGUGUGUCGUACAGCUGUCAGACCUUGGGUCUGAGGCUGGAGGAGAUAAUGACUGUGUUUGCUGCUCAGCACAAGAGAAACCAAUAGAAGGGUGGAGGGAUGGCAGUUUUUUGCUGUGAUAUGCAAUAACAAGAAAUUGCUAGAUUCUACCUCAGCCCCUUCCCUGUUUUCCCCUCCAUUCCCAUGAGGUCACUCUGCCUGAGCUGCUUUCCUCAGCCAGAGCUGCAGUUCCCUCAAGUUCACACUUUGCUCCCUAUCACAGAGCCAGGGCUUUGCUGGAAGUCACAACUCACUUCUUCUUCCAAUUCAGUGCACCUCCUUCUUUGGUCUGGAUCCUUUGAAAAACUGGCUUGAUUUCAGUUAAUUAAUUCAGGUCAGUGCAUUCCUUCCACAGAUGGUUGAAAACAGGCUCUUUUCCAAGGGUUUGGAGAAUGAGCAUGUCCAGUGAGACUGGGCUGAUGUUAAAAAGCAGAAUGUUGGCCGGCUCACCUUGAUGUGAGCUAAUGAGGAUAACACAACUACAGAUCUCAGAUUGGUUUUUAGAUAAAAGUCUUUUAGUGACAGGUCACCCCUAUACAUCUGAAUACUGCCCUAGUGUUGGAAAAUUUACCUCUGAAACAAAAACUGCUUAUACGUUUACCUCACACUUACUCUGAUAUUUUCUUCCUUUCUCUAAUGCCUCUUUUUCACUGCUGGGAAGGAGAACCAUUCUUUCUGUGUCCUUUUCUCACCCCUGAUAAUUUACGUUAUUCUUAGAAAAGGCACUGCAAAGAUGAGCACUUCCAGAGUGACCCUUCACAAUAUAUAUCAAUAGAUGGCAGUAGCUGAAUCUCAUUGGAAAGAACACACCUGCAAAAAUGUCAUAAUUGGCUUUUUCCAUAAGACAAAAAUGAAUGCCCUCUUUAUGGAUUAAAAGGAAUGCAAACUAUUUCAUAAAUCAGGGUCAAAGCACAAUUUCCCUUUUUCAUUCUCGAAGGUACUGAUAGCAAAAGUCGCUUUAAGCAGCACCAAGUUUGCUGGAAACCAUAAAUUGAAAGACUCCACAGGUUCAAAAACGGGAUCAGAAACAUGGAUCUGUUCAGGUCCAUGAAUCUUUCCUUGGAACUGGGUUGGAGACUUGUUAUUGAUGAUGUGGCCAUGACAUUCACUUACAAAACAGACUGUCAAUACCUGCACCAUAAUUUGGAGCCAGAAAGUCCUGCAUCCCAGGUGGUUUAGCUUGAUUUUGAAAUUUCCCCCAAUGUUUUCCUAAUGCCAAUCCAAAUAUUCUAUAGCACCCUUGUAAAUACAAUCUAAUCUCAUUAAUUCAUAGAAUCCUGCAUUUGAACACAUCUAUUUUAAUAUCUUCAGUUUACAUGAAAGCAAAAUUUCAAAGUAGUCUGUAAUCACCAUUGUUGUAAUGGAGUAAGUCCAAAAAGCUAGUCUGUUAAUCAGUAACUCAAGUAUUUGCAACACAUUUUCAAAAUAUUCACGUUUUUGAUUUAAUUUUCAAAAAUUCGGAAGUCCCAGUCUCCUUCAGUGACAAUUUAUUCUUCCUCCUUUCAUGUCUCCCACUUAUUUUCCUGCAGUACAGAAUUUACAAUUCGUUAUUGUAUUGCUGGAAAAGUUUUGACAAAAUCCAAAUCUGUUUGCACAUAUGUAUUAUACAUCUUAAGUGAAAACUCAUUUUGAAGCAUCACAUUUUAGAUUUUUAGAUCACUUAGAUUUUUCUCAUCAGAAGCAAAAUGUCACCGAAAUUAGCAUAAACCAGUAAAUUAAAGCAUAUGGCUGCUGAUGUAUCAAAACUUCUUGAAGGGAAAAACAGAGCCCUCUGGCAGAACAUUUCUGAGCACUGUAUCAUCUGAAUUCCCGGGUCUGUGGAAAUAUUUUGUGCUUAUUUGCAAGCACAGGUUUUUUUAAGUCUUGAUCAUGAUUAUUUAAAUUCCUUUGUUUAUAAUUCAAAGUUUUCUUGCUUCUCCCUUUCUGCAAGUGUUUAAGUGAUGCUCCAGUAAGAAACACUCCAAACAGAUAUAUUUUUGUGACAUUUAUUCUGUGGGCAGUCAGGGGAAAUGCACUGCCUGGUAAUUGGCAAACCAAUAUUUUCGGAUUUCUAGUUGAGUUCAGAGGAUGGUAAAAUGCUGGAAGCUUUUACCCUCAGUAUUAUCAAAGUUCUGUGAGCCUUGCAUUAGCAAAACCAUGUUGCAGUCUGAAAGAACCAAUUUUUCCAUGAAAUGUAAAGUACAUUUUCUCUGGAUAGAAAAUGUGUUAGGGUAAUUAUUUUUUGUGUGCUGUUAUGAAACUGCUUACUUGUUGCUGUAUUGGUUUAAAAUGGUAACUUGAUAAUGAUCAAUCAUUUUUAUUUCAGGCUUUGACCACAUGUCCUUGUCCACUCCAGUCUCCAGAUAAGCCAGAAUGCACCUGUAUUUCGUAUAUAUCUAAUUACACAAUGAUUUUUGCACUUCUUAUUCUGGUCCCUCUCUCUUUUACAAGCUAAAGCUACUAAGAUAGAUGGCUUCGUGCUUCUGCAUGCAAGCUAAAUAGAUGUAAUUUUAAUCCAAACGUGAAUUUUACCUGCACAUCUACAAGAUGACACGGUGCAUUCAGUUUGAGCGAGAUGCAUUUUUGAUGAUGAAAGGGAACUUGGAAUGGGUGAAGAAUGUUAUCCAUCAUUUUCCCCAAAUCAUCAUACAUGAUUUCCCUCAAACAUCUGUCAACCACGCAGCAGUUCAUUUUCCUGAAUCAAACGGUAGAGAAGCCGAGGAACAAUAAUGUUGCUCAAAGAAAAUGGAGCACCCGCUGGGCAAAUGACAUUAUUGUUCUCAGCAGCGUGGGAACCUAAAUUCUCAACUGUUUUGAGUGGAACAGUGAACUGUUCCCAGAGGUGGGUGCCAGUGGCCCUUCCUCUGCUCACACAGUGGCACAGGCCACGGUUUGUAUUCCCAGAUAAAAGAGGCGUUGGAAGCGACAGGAGUGCUUUUCUCAGUUCUUUGAGAGUCCAAAGCUCAGAUAGAUAAGAUCUUUCUCGAAGUCACAUUCAACCUGUACUGAAGUCUAAGGGUGGAAAUGAAGAGAUUUUAGCUUAAUAAGAUUCAUCUUUAUCUGCUUGAGGUAUCUGUCUCAAGCAGAGCCAGACCUGUAAGCUGCAGAGUCACUCGAUGCGAGUUUGCCCUCAAAGAUCUGCUGUGAAGAAUUAAGCGGGAUUUUUUUUUUCCCACAGACAUUCCAUGUGGUCCCUGAGAAUUCUCCCUGAUUUCUGUGGGUACUUCUGCACCAUCCAGAUCCAGAGGGCCCCUGAAUCCAGAGAUCCCAGGUGCAACCAGCUCUUUAUUAAGAAGGGAGGUGGUGCAUCUUCCCUGGGAUCCCCAUGAGCUCAUGCCAGCAUCGAGCAUGGAUGGGAGCAACUCGGGGAGCAACAGCAUCACCUGCCCUUCCCGACCCUCUGCUUGAGGCUGCUGGAUCUGUGGCUGCAGAUGCUGAAGGACUGCAGUGUCUCUCUGUAAGAAUGAAGACAGGUUACCUGAGCAAUGGUUAAAGAGAGGACUGCAACCAGGGCAUCUCAAUGGCAUUUGAAGAACAACUAAAAGAAGGUGAAUAAGAAACACCACCAAUUCCCCUCACCGUCAUCAAUAUUGAAGUACUUUGCUGAAGCAAAAGGUUAAGAAGGAAUUUGGAAUGGACUUUUAAAGACUUGAAAUUUACUGAAUUUUCUCUCCAACUUGAUUCAUCACGUGAGAGAUCUGUUGCAGAGCAUGAAUCUCCAGGGCAGCUGUGAUUGUCUCUCUUCAAUUCCCUCCUCUAUGCACUUUGGAACUCUUUUGUGUAAGAGCUAAGUUGGUGAAGUUCAACACCGAGUUCUGCAGGAUUUGGCUUGGAAAUGCUUCCUUUUGACUUUGAUGCCUGGUUUCUUGGAGAGCCCAUCAACAGCGUGGAUUUCAGAGUCUGCCUUGUGUUGGCCUGUGCCAUGACUUGAGUUCAGCAAGAACUACCUGCUUGUGCUACUUGUAUUCAGGAAGGAUUGGCUGGCUCAGUUAUCCUGCUUUAUGUGACUGCUUAAGAGAACACUACAACCAGUCUCAUGUGCAAAAAGGAGCUCAAAUCCUGGAUUUAUUCCAGCCCUGUAUUGACUGCAGCUGAAAGCAGAUGAAGAUUGCUACACAAACAGGGAGGAAUACCUGUAGUCGGUGGUCACAAACAUGGUACUUGGGCGCCGCUUCUCAAAGCUAAGGAGCUCCUCUCUGCUUCUGAUGAACACGUGGCGAGAAAAGGUGUAGCUUACUAUGGACAACAGCACUCAGUGAAAGUUAAGAGACAACCGCUGGUUUGAUGCAAAACCUCUCCUCUCAGGCCUAAUGCCAGACUCCCAUUCUGGAGUGUCUUUUAUUCUUUGCUGACUCCUAAGCAGAACCCAGUCCUGUUCAAUACAGGACAGGAGUUUUCAUCAUGUACUGCAGAACGUACUGCUUGGACAACUUAACUCUUCAGGAGUUAAAUAUUUGUUUCACCAGCCCUUGCUGACCCUGAUGUGGAGAAGUUUAACUCACCCUUUACUCUUCUAUUCACUGUUGCAUCCAUGAGCUGUCACAAUCAAACCCCAUGCCUAGGCCAACACUAUUAUCUCAUCAACAGAUUGGUGUUGAUAUAAUUGCAACUUAUAUUUAUAAUAAUAAUUAUUCCUCUUUCCAUCUAAUAGAGAUAGAAAAGGACUCAGAGGUCCAUUUCUGAAAAAUCUGGGUAGAUUUCUGAAAAGCCAGAACUAAUAAAAUAGGAUAUAAAGCUGUGCUAACAAAAAUAUCAAGUUUUUGAGAAGUAAGGUAAAUAUAAAAGUGACCUGAUCUGGGCUGACCUGAAGGGAGAGAUACAGGAGGUUUUGCUUCCAUGCAGAUUUAUACAGAAGAUAACACAGCAAUCAAAACAGUAGCAGCAGAGAAGAGAGGUAGAGGUUUAAAUGGGAUUUGAGUGUCCCUGGUGGCUUCAGAGGAAAGUGAAGCACUUCACUUGUGUUUCAAAAUAUAAAUAAACUUGCUGAGUGUGUCGCUCCUCCAACUGCUCAUUCUAAAGGCUGCAAGAGGCACGUGGGUGCUGUGCAUCGCAUCUGCUGGCUCAAGCAACAGCGGGGCUGGCGCAUCCGUCUGUCCCUGUAUCUGCCAAGCAGGGUUUCCCACAGGCUCUGUAAUGCCUUUUGGAGGGCUGGAGCCUGUGGAAAUUUAUAAGUGCCUGAGGAUAAUAGUGCAGCUAGUGCCAUGAGGUGUGCACAGCUCUGGGCUGUGAUUCCCAGGGAAGCCUUCGAUGGACUUACUAAAAAAUCCCUUGACUUUUGCAUUAUUCUCUCACUAGAGGUGCUUAGUAAGUGACAUUGGAGAUUAAGAUAAGAGGAAAAAAAAAGGCGUGAGAAGCUCCUAGUACUUACCUCACAAAGUUUGUACAAGAUAGUAUUGAGCUAUGGCCCUCUAAGGGUCAAAAGCAGGAAAGUUAUGAAGUAAACAUUAGAAAAUGUUUAGAAGAAAGAAGGCAGAUGUGCAAAGAGGCUGUUUGGGAUAACAGCACUCUAUUCCAUGAAUUAACACUCAACUCUUUCUGUCCAUCCCACACGGGCAGUCCAGCACCUCUACUCCUUUCCCCAGUGAAAGGUUUCCAAGGCCACACAGCAAGGCCCCAGCUCUCUCAUGUGUCCAUGGCUGGUAACGUGCAGCAGUAGAUUGGUUUGUGCUCUUGUCACACUCCUCAAGGAAAUGAUGGCUUUGGUACACUCACUUAUAGAUUUAGUAUAAACCUGCUUGUGUCAUCCACUCAGGCUGCUCUGAGAGACAGGACACAACUCAGGGCUGAUGCCAAAUAAUAACUGAUGUCUGUCUCUACAGAGCUUUCACAGGCAUUAGGGACAGAGGGGCACUCAUUAAACUCCAGAGGAUGCCCAGGUUUUCACCUGUUCAGAUGCAUCUAUCUUGAUGAAGGGUUGAAAAAAUAUUUAAAUUAAUCAUUCAGAAAGAUCUUUUAUCAAGAGGCAAAAUAGAUCUAAAUUUACUUUAAAAGUCAGCUUGUUAUGUUUCAGUUCCUAGGAGCAGCAAUUGUUUGCAUACAGCCCCUGAGCAGUUGCACAUCUUUUUAACACAUUAUUUAAUUAUCGUUUGUAUAGGAGCUCCUGGCCAGCUCCAAGCAGAUACAAAAAUGGUAUUAAUUGUGUAGGUAGUGCACAGGCAGAGUAUGAUAUAAUUAGCAAAAAAAUGAAUAUGUUGUAUUCAUAAACAUCCAGAAGACUCAGGAGAUGAACACAUUAGUAAAAGCUAAAAAAGCCAACCUGAUAAAUGGUGUGGUAAUGAUGUUUUGAUAUUAUCUCUUGGCCAAGUGACCGCUUUAAGAGAACCUGAAGAUCUCCUGAGUUCCUAAUUGACAGUGACAGAUUGAUGCUAAUUAGAUAAUCAUGAUACCAGUGGAAAAUGAAUUGAUGGGGACACACAAAACCGGUGACAUGCAAAAGGACACCAGGAUAGGCUUCCUUAAGCAGGAGGACGCUUCAGUGAGUUGAAAAAAUACCUCUUAUUGUUCUCAUUUCUGCUCUCUGGGUUUUGGUUUUGUGGCUUCUUUUAAGUAUAUGGUAAUUCUCUUAUCCUUUUUAUGUUUUAUUUAAUCUCACGGUCUCAGUGUUCCAGCAGGUUUAAACAGAGAACAUUCCUGUGACCUGUGUCAGAGAGAAAGUGUUUUAAAUUUUCUAAACCUUUCCUAUUAUAAAAUUUCCCUUUAAAUACCUGACAUUAUGCAGAUAACCUGUACCCAGAUUAGUCUCCUAUCAGGGCUUUUUGUUGCUACUGCUUUUAUGCAAUAAGCUGUGCAUGAGCAAAAUUUUACUUAGCCAUGAAGAUCCUCUUAAUGUUUCCAGCAUAGCAGAAUAUUGCAAAGAAAUAAAACUUCCAAAUCGCUCAUUUCGCUAGACUGUGCCUUCACUUGAGGCCAGCUACUAGAAUAUAACCUUCCUGGGGAUGUGCCAUGGCCAAGAGGUACCUGGUGUAUGAAUGUACCCAAUAAAAGCUGUUGCUAAGGUGUUCCCAUGGUCUAGAAGUUUGGCCUAAUUUUCUCUGGAUGCAGCACAAUUUCGUGUUUCUUUAAUUACGUUUCAGUCACAUGUAUAAAACCAGUCCUUCAGAGUUGAAAUCACUGCUGCUUUUGAUUCAUCGCACAGGGGCACGUUUUAAUUCUCCAGGAAGGUUAAUAGCUUCAUACAUUCAUUGUUUAAGUAAUUCCUUAAAUCCUCAAUGCUUACAUGAGCAACUUUACUGGCUUAUACUUUCUUUUAUUGAAAUAUAUUAAAGGAAAUACCUUCAAGCCUACUUCAUUAAGUUUCCUUGUAAAAUGCUGUAUGCUUCAGAAAGAAAGAAUACUAAUCUGUAAUACUUGUUUUUAAAGGGAGACCUCAACUCUUUGCUCAAAAAAAUUGCAGUAAGUAUCUCUCAACCUCACUAAAACCAGCAAUAGGUGCUCCUGUUCUGAUGCUGCUGAAGCCACUGAAAAAAAGACUUCCCUUCCUCAAAGAUCAGUGUAAGACCAGGACUAGAAUAAACUUAAUAAAGAAAAUGUUGAUUCACCAGCCUUUUCCCCUCAAGUUACGAUAAUGUUACUCAUUGCUUGGGAAAAACAACAAUCCCCAUAAUUCCCAAGAAUUAGAUUUUUUUAAUUAUUAUUGUUAUUUUGAGUAUACAGAGAUGGAACUGCAGCCUGGUAGAGCUGAGAUUGCAGUGGGACUCUCCCUGGAGCUGCAGAGCUGCUCGUGGAAAGCUGCAUCGUUUGAAAUGGUCCUGUGGGUUCCUAAUGAAUAUAAUUGCUUUCCGUGGUGGUGCUUGGGUUUGAUUCUCUUGCUACAGCUGGUUUAGUAAAAUUCAUUCACUGAUGAUGCUGGGCAAUCUACCUCAGUGAAAAUGUAUUGAUUUCCUGUAAGGUCCGUUUUUGGAAAUGUUCUUACACUGUGUUUUUACAUACGUUUGCUCAUAAUUUAAUUGCUGUACCUUUAAGCUACCACUCGUGCUGACACAGCUUAAAGUGCCAUAUAAAGCUGUGAAAAGGUCCUUCUGCAGAGAAUUGGAGUAAAGAUGGAAUUAAGGCUUUUUAAAAGCUAAAUUCUUUAGGAUUUAUGUCAGCUUGUUGCCUACACACUGUUGACAUUUUAUCUAAACGAAGUGUUGACUUCAUAUUUAAGGGUUUAUGCCACUAAAUUAUUAGGCUCAGUAGGUCAAAUGGUGCAUAUUCAGGAGUUUUAAAGGCAUUUUCACAGCUGAAAAAAACACACAAGAAAGAGCAGCUUAAUGUCUGUUUUAAAACUGUUAAACCUACAGAAAUUCCUAAAGCAUAAAGUGGCAAGCAUUGCUGCUCGCUGUGCUUGGUCUGCACCGAGGGAAACGGUGUGAUGGAACACUUCCGAUGAGGAAGGGAGGGAAGACAGUCUGAGCAGAGGAGAACACAGCAGUGAUGGUCACUGUAUGAAAGAUGAUUAAAGCAAUUACUAAUGCACUCUGUGCUCAAUGGAUAUCUGACUGUGACUGUCUCCCAUUGAUUCUCCCAGACAGUGGCAGUCAGAAGCAAUGCCAAGCACCUCCUUUUCUGUGGAAUUUAUUUCAACCUCAUUAUUUAUUUCACUUCGUGAAAUAUGCUUCAUAUUUUACUGCUUAGAGAAAAUGAAGAGGGUAAUAAAAAGCUGGGGGUGAACAGCAGUGGCUUCCUCUACUGAAGAAAGAUCUGUUGGAAGUGGAUAUUGGACAAACCUCCUUAGCAAUAAGGGCGGGUAGAUCAAUUUUUAGAAGGCUGGCAGUGAACACUCCAUAUCUCUAAAUCUUGGAAGCUGGGUCUGGAUACCUUAGCUGAAUAUAUACUCUUCUGUAGCCUAAAACUCCUUAGAUGUGAUGUAAAAAUCACUGCAUGACAUUUUCUGAUCUCUGUUAUAUGGAAGAUCAAAUCUGUCGAUCACACUGAUCCCUUUGGGUCUUAAAAUCUUCCAAUUUAUUGCAAGAAAAUUUACUGCCGUUUAACUGCUAUGCUUGGGGUACAGGUCCUGAGAGCUUCACACACCUCUAUUGGUUUACCUUCAAUUCCUGCAAGAAGUUGAGAAUGAUGUUUAGUUGCUUCCCAACUGUAUGGCUUUCAUUUAAUUCAUAGUUUUUCAUUACAAUUUCUGGGUCUGUAGUUUUUGUCCUAAUUAUUUGCUGUAAGACUUUAUUUCAAUUCUGUAUCCUCUCACCUUAGAGGGUAGCAAACAAGGCCUGUGGACACUCAUGCUCAACUCAUUCCCAGGGAUUAGGAUAAAACCCACGUGAAGUUACUUUGUUUAUUUGUAUUUUUAAUCCGCAUUGGGUACUACCUUUAAUGCUCAGGUUUGUUUAUUUCCCUUGUGGGGUUUCUGCUUGUUUAUUUGUUUGUUUUCUGGUGUCUUUAGUACACCACACGAGCCAUUGUUGAACCCCUUCAUAGUUCCUUAGUGCAGCACAGCUCCCUGCUGAAUUGGGAUGAGCUGGCUGAGUUAGCUGAGAGAAGGAAGAGAGAAGGAAGAGAGGAAUCGCGUUUGGCAGCAGCACACACUUACUUUGGCUUAAGGUGAGAAUGACCUAACGUUUGUCAUCAGUUGUUUAUUCUCUUGGCCUCUGCUGUGUGAGGAGAUCGAGUUGUGGAUGGCUCCACUGGAGCUUUUCUUGUUAGUGCCACUGUGUACUUAUGGAUUUGUUUGGCACUUGGUGGGGAAGGAGGAGAGGUUUAUGCAAUGAUCCUGGGAGAUUUUGUGUCUUCAGCGAGGAGGAGGUUUGCACAGGAGGAAGUGCCCAGGGAGUGCUCACUCUCUGGAGCAGCACAGACUCUUCUCACGGUCACGAGACCAAAUGCAAGUCUCAGGACAAACAUUACUUUGCUGCUUUACCAACCAUACAAUA